CACACCGCCCGUCACAUCACGAAAGCCCGUUGUACUAGAAGCCGGUGAUUCAACCGCAAGGAGAUAGCCGUCCAAGGUAUGACUGGUGAUUGGGUGAAGUCGUAACAAGGUACCC
rnacentral:rRNA from 1 species